rnacentral:rRNA from 1 species
UUAGCUAGUUGGUGGGGUAAUGGCUCACCAAGGCGACGAUCCGUAACUGGUCUGAGAGGAUGAUCAGUCACACUGGAACUGAGACACGGUCCAGACUCCUACGGGAGGCAGCAGUGGGGAAUAUUGGACAAUGGGCGAAAGCCUGAUCCAGCCAUGCCGCGUGUGUGAAGAAGGUCUUCGGAUUGUAAAGCACUUUAAGUUGGGAGGAAGGGCAGUAAAUUAAUACUUUGCUGUUUUGACGUUACCGACAGAAUAAGCACCGGCUAACUCUGUGCCAGCAGCCGCGGUAAUACAGAGGGUGCAAGCGUUAAUCGGAAUUACUGGGCGUAAAGCGCGCGUAGGUGGUUCGUUAAGUUGGAUGUGAAAUCCCCGGGCUCAACCUGGGAACUGCAUUCAAAACUGACU